UCCAGUUGGCAGGAGAAAAAUCCAAUAGGCCUUUGGCGGCCUCCAGGACCAUGGGCCUGAGUGAGUACUCCUGUUGCAUGGCCUUGUCUUUCAGAAACAAACUAUUUGAAGGGUUUGGUAUAGUCUGGUAGGCCAAGAGCAGGAGCAGAAGCAAUAGCACGUUUAAGAGUACAGAAGUUGUCAAGGGCUUCUGUGGACAAGCAAAAUGGGUCUGACUUGAGAGCAUCAUAGAGAGGUUGCAUAAGGAGUGAGGCUUCUGGAAUCCAUGCUCGGCAAUAGGAAAUGAGGCCUAGGAAGGCGUGUAGUGACUUUGAGGUCCUUGGAGGUGGAAUGUCCAGUACUGCUCUAACUCGGUCACGAGUGAG